GGAUGAACGCUAGCUACAGGCUUAACACAUGCAAGUCGAGGGGCAUCAGGAAGAAAGCUUGCUUUCUUUGCUGGCGACCGGCGCACGGGUGAGUAACACGUAUCCAACCUGCCCUUUACUCGGGGAUAGCCUUUCGAAAGAAAGAUUAAUACCCGAUAGCAUAAUGAUUCCGCAUGGUUUCAUUAUUAAAGGAUUCCGGUAAAGGAUGGGGAUGCGUUCCAUUAGGUUGUUGGUGAGGUAACGGCCCACCAAGCCUUCGAUGGAUAGGGGUUCUGAGAGGAAGGUCCCCCACAUUGGAACUGAGACACGGUCCAAACUCCUACGGGAGGCAGCAGUGAGGAAUAUUGGUCAAUGGGCGCUAGCCUGAACCAGCCAAGUAGCGUGAAGGAUGAAGGCUCUAUGGGUCGUAAACUUCUUUUAUAUAAGAAUAAAGUGCAGUAUGUAUACUGUUUUGUAUGUAUUAUAUGAAUAAGGAUCGGCUAACUCCGUGCCAGCAGCCGCGGUAAUACGGAGGAUCCGAGCGUUAUCCGGAUUUAUUGGGUUUAAAGGGAGCGUAGGUGGACUGGUAAGUCAGUUGUGAAAGUUUGCGGCUCAACCGUAAAAUUGCAGUUGAUACUGUCAGUCUUGAGUACAGUAGAGGUGGGCGGAAUUCGUGGUGUAGCGGUGAAAUGCUUAGAUAUCACGAAGAACUCCGAUUGCGAAGGCAGCUCACUGGACUGCAGCUGACACUGAUGCUCGAAAGUGUGGGUAUCAAACAGGAUUAGAUACCCUGGUAGUCCACACAGUAAACGAUGAAUACUCGCUGUUUGCGAUAUACAGUAAGCGGCCAAGCGAAAGCAUUAAGUAUUCCACCUGGGGAGUACGCCGGCAACGGUGAAACUCAAAGGAAUUGACGGGGGCCCGCACAAGCGGAGGAACAUGUGGUUUAAUUCGAUGAUACGCGAGGAACCUUACCCGGGCUUAAAUUGCAGUGGAAUGAUGUGGAAACAUGUCAGUGAGCAAUCACCGCUGUGAAGGUGCUGCAUGGUUGUCGUCAGCUCGUGCCGUGAGGUGUCGGCUUAAGUGCCAUAACGAGCGCAACCCUUAUCUUUAGUUACUAACAGGUUAUGCUGAGGACUCUAGAGAGACUGCCGUCGUAAGAUGUGAGGAAGGUGGGGAUGACGUCAAAUCAGCACGGCCCUUACGUCCGGGGCUACACACGUGUUACAAUGGGGGGUACAGAAGGCAGCUAGCGGGUGACCGUAUGCUAAUCCCAAAAUCCUCUCUCAGUUCGGAUCGAAGUCUGCAACCCGACUUCGUGAAGCUGGAUUCGCUAGUAAUCGCGCAUCAGCCACGGCGCGGUGAAUACGUUCCCGGGCCUUGUACACACCGCCCGUCAAGCCAUGGGAGCCGGGGGUACCUGAAGUACGUAACCGCAAGGAUCGUCCUAGGGUAAAACUG
rnacentral:rRNA from 1 species